GGAAUCGCGACUAUGGGAGCUCCGGGGGGAAAGAUCAACCGGCCCCGAACGGUGACUGUGUGGGGGCCGCGACUUUGUUUCCUCAAGCGUUCCUGAGCCCUUUUAUCUCGCACGAGAUGGGAUCAGUGAGGGGCCGGGGCUGCCUGGUGGAGGGGCCCCGGGUCGCGGCGAGCCCACUCCAUCUGAUUCGCAUCUUUCUCCCCGGCAGGAGCUGAAGAAGAAGCUGUUCAAACGCCGGCGGGUGUUGAAUCGGGAGCGGCGUCUGAGGCACCGGGUGGUCGGGGCUGUGAUAGACCAAGGGCUGAUCACGCGGCACCACCUCAAGAAGCGGGCGUCCAGUGCACGUGCCAACAUUACACUGUCAGGGAAGAAGCGCAGAAAACUCCUCCAGCAGAUCCGGCUUGCCCAGAAAGAGAAGACAGCCAUGGAAGUGGAAGCCCCUUCAAAGCCAGCCAGGACUAGUGAACCACAGCUCAAAAGGCAAAAGAAGACAAAAGCCCCCCAGGAUGUAGAAAUGAAGGACCUUGAAGAUGAGAGCUAAACCUCUUCCACUAGAAGAUUCUCAACUGGAGCCAGCCUUCAGACUCAGUGGUUGUUUCAGAGGACUUUGACAAAAGCAAGGCCCCUUUUCACUCUCCAGAUUUCCUCCUACCUAAUGGCCUACUGACCUCCCCUAGAGGGAUGUCUUUGGGAGGGAAGAAGGUACAGAAGAAAGAUUGGAGAAGGGCCUCUCUAGCAGUCAACUCCAUUUGUAAUAAAGCCCUAGCACUCUGAGA
rnacentral:lncRNA from 1 species